ensembl:misc_RNA Metazoa_SRP Metazoan signal recognition particle RNA
GCUGGGCAUGGUGGUGCCUGCCUGUAAUCCCAGCUACUCAGGAGGCUGAGGCAGGAGAAUUGCUUGAAUCCAGGAGACGGAGGUUGCAGUGAGCCGAGAUGGCACCACUGCACUUUAGCCUGGGUGACAGAGCAAGAAUCUGUCUCAA